rnacentral:rRNA from 2 species
UACGUAGGGUCCGAGCGUUGUCCGGAAUUAUUGGGCGUAAAGGGCUCGUAGGCGGUUGGUCACGUCGGGAGUGAAAACUCAGGGCUCAACCCUGAGCGUGCUUCCGAUACGGGCCGACUAGAGGUAUGCAGGGGAGAACGGAAUUCCUGGUGUAGCGGUGGAAUGCGCAGAUAUCAGGAGGAACACCGGUGGCGAAGGCGGUUCUCUGGGCAUUACCUGACGCUGAGGAGCGAAAGCAUGGGGAGCGAACAGG